ACCAUAUCUUACUCGCGAGGUCCCGACUGCGAAGCCGAUUUACGGCAGCCAUUCGGGUUAAAAGGGAAGCCGGUGCAAGUCCGGCACGGUCCCGCCACUGUAAAACAGGGAUAUCCUCCACACUGCCACUGGCCUGGUCACAGGCACGGGAAGGCGGAGGUUUCGUCACAACCUGUAAGUCAGGAGACCUGCUUCGCGUGAUGAUCUGAC
rfam:Paenibacillus sp. DMB20 gs_2, whole genome shotgun sequence.